rnacentral:rRNA from 1 species
CGGCGGACGGGUGAGUAAUGCAUAGGAAACUGCCCAGUAGUGGGGGAUAGCCCGGGAAACCCGGAUUAAUACCGCGUACGCCCUUCGGGGGAAAGCAGGGGAUUUUCGGACCUUGCGCUAUUGGAUGUGCCUAUGUCGAAUUAGCUAGUUGGUGGGGUAAAGGCCUACCAAGGCGACGAUCCGUAGCUGGUCUGAGAGGAUGAUCAGCUACAUCGGGACUGAGACACGGCCCGA